rnacentral:ncRNA from 1 species
CCGCGAGGAAUGAAAAGGGAACGCAGUGAGAUUCUGCGACAAUACCCGUUGCUGUGAGUUCCUGCCCGCGAGGGCACACUUGGUUUCGCCAUCUUUGGCCACUGGUCUUCGGACCGGGAAGGCGCGGAACCGGAACGAGUCAGAAGACCUGCCUGAUGUGUUA